GCCCCGCAGGCCGCUUGGUGCUCCGCGCUAGCCCUGUCCGGAGAGAGGCCCGCGUUCCCUUGCCGCCCGCCGGCGGUGGCGCGGCCCCUCAGGGCGCUGUGAGGCCGGCACGGCCCGCUGGCUGCCGGAGCUGUGACCGGCCCCUCAGGGCGCUGUGAGGCCGGCACGGCCCGCUGGCUGCCGGAGCUGUGACCGGCCCGGGACGAUCCCCGGGGAGCGAGGAGCUCCUCUCGAGUGCUCUGGUUCUCUGCAGCCGCUGGUGCUGCCUCAGACACCUGCACCCGGGCUGGCUCCUGAACGGCGUCCAAGGGGCCGUUGAAGAGUCCUAUCUAUUGUUUCAUAUAGCGGGGCCUCUACUUCAGUAAUUGCUACUUGAUUUGACACUCGUUUGAUUUUACGUGCUGUGGCUGUUGGAGUUCCCUGAUGAACCGCCUCUUGCUAUGAAGAUAAUUCUGUACACCCAGCUUGGCAUUUCUGUAUUUACACUGCAAGGAUCUCCGGGUGUUGUGAUUAAACAUUCCAUCAGCAAGAUAUUGCAUAAUUUUAAUAUUUAGAGCAUUUAAAAUACGUUUUAAAUUGUUGAUACAUAUAAUAAAAUGUACUUUCUCUUAGGAGUGUCAUGUAAAAACAACAAUUUCAUGUGAAAACAGAAAAUGGCUUCAAGAGGAACAACAGAGACCAGUAAACUAAAACAAAACUUGGAGGAGCAGUUGGACAGAUUAAUGCAGCAACUUCAAGAUCUGGAAGAAUGCAGAGAGGAGCUGGAUGCAGAUGAGUAUGAAGAGACCAAAAAAGAAACUCUAGAGCAGCUGAGUGAGUUCAAUGACUCCCUGAAGAAGAUUAUGUCUGGAGAUAUGACUUUGGUGGAUGAGCUCAGUGGCAUGCAACUGGCAAUACAAGCAGCCAUCAGCCAAGCAUUUAAAACUCCAGAAGUGAUUAGAAUGUUUGCAAAGAAGCAGCCAAGACAAUUGAGGACAAGGCUGGCAGAGAUGGACAGAGACUUUAUGGUUGGGAAGUUGCCACGAGACCUGUACACCCAACAGAAACUGGAAAUCCUGACUGCCCUCAGAAAGCUUGGUGAGAAGCUCACUGGUGAUGAUGAGAUGUUCUUGUCAACAAAUGCUGGUACAGCCCUGAGCCAGUUUGAGAGAGUCUCCACUGACCUUGGGCAAUUCCCUCAUACAUUUUUUCAGCUCCCAUCACUGAUCAGGACUGAACACGUGGAUUAUCUGAUCUCCUGUGGUUUCUAGAAGCAGGAAAUCCAGGAGCUGGCAGGAGGGGAAUGAACCGUGAGGGCGUCCCCGGGAAGAGUCCGGAGGAGAUGUACAUCCAGCAGAAAGUGAGAGUCCUGCUCAUGCUCAGGAAGAUGGGAUCAAACCUGACGGCCAGCGAGGAGGAGUUCCUGCGCACGUACGCGGGAGUGGUGAACAGCCAGCUGAGCCAGCUGCCCCAGCACUCCAUCGACCAGGGUGCUGAGGAUGUUGUGAUGGCAUUUUCCAGAUCAGAGACAGAAGACAGAAGACAGUAACCACAGGACACGUGAACAACACCGAACUGGGGAGGACAGUGAGAUUCCUGAAGAUAGAGGAGGAUGGCUGAGCAUUAAUAAGUUCCUCUGCCCACCCUAAUUGUUCCUUGGUGUUCCUUCUCCUCUGUAAUGUUGUUUCCCUUUGCCCAACCCUCAGAAUGCAUCUCACAGCCGUCUAUUCCUGGCAGAUUUUGCAACUCAGCCGGGCUGUGUUCAUUAAGGACAAACCUAAAGGUGUGGUUUUGGUUGGCUCAAAGGGACAGGCUGUGGUUGGAUAAAGGAAGGCAAUUUUUCAAACUUGACCAAUGGAAACCUUUUAUCUGACAUUUUAUUUUAUAUUUUAAACAAAGUCUCUUGACAUCCUACUUUUAAAGAAGCUUUUCAUGCUGUGGUGCUUAUUUAGGUCAAACUUGUGAAUUUGAAGAGGGUUUGAUUUGGCUGCAUAGAACUGGAAGCAACUUGUGAUUGGGUGACAAUGCAAAAGCUUUCCCUUCAGUUGGAUUGCAGGUAUUUUGCUGACUCCAACAUUUUCGUUGCUGGAAGCUGAUGUUUUUGGUGCAUUGUUUAUUUCUUUAUACUUAUUGACUUGGGGGGGAAAAGACAAAUGUGCUUUGCAAUAUUUAUUACAUCUACACACAUAUAACGCUUGCUUUUGGGGGGUUGUUUUGGUUUUUUGAUUGGCUUUGAAGUCAUGGUUUGAUUUCCUUUUGGCUGCAGUGUUUCUGAUGCAAUCAGUUUUUCCAUACUCAGCUGCUCUCUGGCCUCCAGCUCUUUUGGGAGCAUGUGUCAAAGCAGAUUUGGUUCAGGAGGUGCACCUGGCCAGGCUGGAGGCCAGAGCUGCCCAGCCCUGGUGGCCACUGGGGGCUGUGCCCAGCACUCCUGCCUGCCCUGGGGCUUCUCUUGGCUUCCCCCAGAGGAGCUGGAGAUGUUCUGCAGGAAUUGCAGGAAUGAGAUCUGAGGCUGCCACAUGAAUUUGCCAAAUUUGUAUAGAGAAUAUGUGAACUUGUUUAAAAUACUAGAGUUCCACUUUAACCCUUUGAUUGCUGCACAAGACUAGCUCUCACAUUAAGAACAAUUAACGAUCAUUAAAUUAAAUCCAGCUUGCACUGGGCUUUAAUAAACGGAAGUUUCUAGUCACUUGAAAAAUUGUACAUGGCUUCCCUCCUUGCAGCUGUUUGGUGAUAGGGAAAUUCCCUGGAUCCUGGGCUGACAGCAUGUUCUUGAGGCACUGUUCCAGGAGGCAGCAGUGCUGCAUUAGGCUGAGUGUGCAGUGACACUCCCAGGUUUGCUCUCUGUAGCUGCAGGGUCCUUACACAGACCUUUACAGACUGAAAAAGCUGCAGUGGAAUUCCCGAGGUGCACUGACUGUUCAGGAAUCUGCACAGUCUCCAGCACUGCUGCCUAAAACCAAGCACUUCAUUUUCUCUCACGUGUGCAGGUGCUUUUAACAAAACUUCUGGAUUUUGCUGUGGGUUGCACUGACUUCGAGAUGUUUCAGAAUCUAUUAAAGCUGAACCCAAUUUACCUGUUCCUUGUUCUUUUGCCAUGAUUGUUAAUUAUUUACAGUAACAAUUCUAGAGUCUAACUGUGAGAACAUGACCAUUUUCAUGGCCAGAAAUUCUGCUGACAGGAUGCUGUUGUGGUCUCAAAACGGGGGAAGAGCUGGAGAGAAACCAUGGACUGUCUGCAAAAGGAAGAAUAGACUUGUGAGCACAAGGAAGAAAUUACCUUGAGCAAAUAAAUACUGUGUAAUGAGAGCAACUGUACAUCUAUUUAUGAAAAUGCUCCUUUGGAUUCAGUUGCAGCUCUGUAAAGUUCUAUGUGAAAGUAAAUCUUUUACCCCGUUUUGUUGGGGCCAGAUAAGUAAUUUCUUUAUUAAAAUAAACCAGGAAUGAGCCCAAA